AGUUACGCAUUAUAACAUAUUUCUUACAAGGAAUAGUAAAUGUGGAAUAAAAACAACAUUGAACCUUAUAAUUCAAUAUUGCUUGGAUCUGAAGAAGUGACGUAGACAGUUGACAGAGUAGCACGACAUAUGUCCAUCUUUUCUGCAAUGCAAGAAGCCUGUGAAGGAUCUGAAAUGUAUUUGGGUUGAUCCCAAAAUGUGAAAUGAUUGAUUUAUUUGUCCCUAGUCCUGUAAAUUACUUGUGCAUGUUUUUUAACUUGCUUGAAUGGAUUCUCAGGACCAAAUGAUAUGAGGGAGUCUAAUAAUUUGUUCAAGCAUUUGCAAGCUCACAGCUUUCUAGCUUGUACAUUCUAGUUGCUGUAAUUAGCUGUUGCUGUCUGAAGACUGAGUGUGACUUUUCUGUUAAUUACCAUUAAUCUUGAUUCUUUUGUCAUGAGGAACUAAUUUCUAUUUCUAGUAGUAAGACUUCAAUGAGUAUAUAAAGAACAUAUUAACUAAAUAUAAUCCUAUUCUUAUGAAUUUGUAAAUUAAAAGGCCUAUUAACCUCACUGAACUGGAAAAAAGGUUCACUGACAGUGUUUGAAAUGUUCAGCUCCCCUUUAUUUAUUUUUCAUGGCUUGAUAUAAUACCCACAAGAUAUCAAUGCCAGAAGAAACUACAACUAAGUGACCAAAUAUUUUGUUUGUUUAAUUUUAAAAAUUAACUCCGUCUUUUACCCUUGCCUGGGGGGGGUGAUAGGGAAUGGAGAGCAACAGAUUUGGCAGAAGAAUGUUUACCCAUGAUUUAAGCUUUUGAGUUCCAUCCUGAGAGAGUCUCCAAACACAAACCUGAGUUUGAAUUACUAAUGUUGUUAUGGUUGUGAUGCCAGCAUAAGAGAAGCAAUAUUAGAGUCAUCAAACUUGAGCAUAGAAAACAAAUUACAGUUGCUUAUCCCAUGCCUGUUUUGAGUAAAAAAUCGGAGAUUUUAUUUUUACCAAUAAAUAAGUCAAAUAACACAAAAUCAAAAGAUAUUGUGAUCCUGAGAGCCUUAUUUUCCCUACAAGGACUAUCAAGUGGUUCAUUAUUGAACUUGGUCAGCUACAAGUAAUUGGUGACAGUAAUGAUUGGGCAUCCCUAAUGCUUAAUCACUGCAUUUGUAUAGCCAAUUGGAAUGGGGCAUUGGGUACAGAUGGGAGAGAGAGGAAGUUUUAGGAGGGUCAUACAGUAGGAAAACUGGUUUAUUUCUACCGUAAAGCAUUUCUCAGGGGCCAUCACAAAGGUCAUAGGGCUUUUGAAAGGUAUGUCCCACUAGUUGUCUGGUAGAGAAGUUUCCUAUAGUUCGAUCAUUCCAUCCUUUGAACUAAAAGUUCUUCAAAGCUGAGAUAAACUGUGCUGUACAUCUUACUCUCUGCCUAUCAUCCCUUACCUUCCACUUCUGUCUAUGCAUGUGUUCUGCUGAAUGCUAGAUUUUUUUUUUUUCAGCUCCCACCUUCCUCACCAUUUCUCCUCUGCAUGGACCAGUGUAGAGAGCAAUUCAUAUGGGCAGGUGGAGGAAAAUGAAACUGGACUGCUUGCAAUGGUCAGCUGAGGUUGGGUUCCAGGAAUCUCUAGUGGCAGCCAUAGGUGCUGUGCCCCACAGCAAUGCAUGGCACAAAGAAGCCUCAUUGUGCUCUUGAUUGAUGGGAGGGAAACCUGAGUAUGAAGCCAGAUGGAAGCCAGACCAUGCAAUAGCUGAUCAGCCUGAUAUGGGUGAUCAGGUGACCAAGAUACAUGGUAACAUAAAAUGUUCUACAGUAGGCACCCAGUUGAUUAGCCUAGGUACAGCCAGAAAGUGACUCAUGAGGAGAAAUAGCUUGUCUGCUUCUAAUCUAAGCUGGUAGAGGAAAUUGUUUAUGAUGUUACUGUGUAUUUAUCAAAUAGUAUGUGACCAUGUACCUGAAGGCUUUGGAUAUGACUUCUCAUUAAAUCACCAACAGCUUUAACUUUACAUGAUGGAAGAGAAUCAAUAAAGAUGUAUAUGAUAGUGCAUCUUCAAACAGGUCAUGGUGAACUGUUGAGAAGUGAUAAAGGUGAUGAUCCCAGUUUGAAUCCUUUCUUAUAGAUGGUAAGAACAUUAAAGGAGAAGCCCUUUGGUUGUAGAAGGUUAUAGUCACUUCCACAAACAAGACAGUGAAAAGAACCACAUUUAUGAAAGAAUGUUUUCUGCAGGUUAUACUCUACUGGAAGACAGUAGUAUGAAUAAAAGCAUGAUAUCUGGUUAAAAAGUUAAUUACAUACGUACUUCAGGAAAUUAUAGUGAUGUAGGAGUCAGCCUUCGGAGAGAGUGAUUUCUAGCAGGUUUCUAACAUGCUUAUUUGAAACGUAAGUUAUGCUAACUAGUAUUUACCACUUAUAGAAAGCUGCAGAGACUUUCAUAUGGCUCUGUUCUUAAGUGAAAAAUGGAAAAUUGUGUGGGGUAAAAAAAAAUAAUUGUGAACACUUUCAAAUUUGGGACCAGACAAAAGAAAAAAGUUACCCAUUUGAAAUUCAGAGAACUUUACAAUGCUGCAAGUAAGUAAAAGCAGAUGUUGUAAGGUUUAGAAAAUCAAGACAUUAUUUUCCUGUUUCCACUGAAUAUUUCUAAACACAUUAUAAAUAAGCUUUGAAGUAGUACAAAAUACUGCGUUUGUUUUGCUGAUAGCAUCUUUUUAUAAAAAAACCCCUUUAUCAACGCUUAUUUAAGUUAGAGACUAAAUGAUAUCUGUGUGGUUAAACAACUGGCUCUCUCUUGCAAAUACAAUGCUGUACUAGUUGCAGUGUCUGAGCCCUUCAAAAGCCUAUCUGAUCUUCUGAGUUUAAUUU